GUUACAGAGGGAGAAGCGGUUUGCAGCCCCCGCUUUCAGUGGUGGCCGCGCUCAGGGUGCCCCGGCUCCCUCCCUUCCACCCUUGGCCUGACCCUGCUGCUGUUGCUCUGCAGCUUGGGCUGGUGGCGAUGGCUGACGGCAAAGAGGACCCCGCCGUCUUCACCUCCUCUUCUCUGCCCUCGGACCCACGGCUGCUGGCCACGGUCACCAACGCUUACCUGGGCACCCGUGUGUACCGGGACGUCCUCCACGUCAAUGGCGUCUACAAUGGGGCGGUGGGAGACACGCACCGUGCCGACGUCCCCAGCCCCGUCAACGUCAGGAUGAGGGUGCCGGGUGUGGGCAGCCUGGCCGAGACCUUCACCUUGAACACCCGGACGGGAACCUUCAGCCACGUGCUUCAGUCAGCUGACUAUACAGCCACCCAUCACGUCUACGCUCACCAUUCCCUUGUCCACUUGAUGGUCUUCAGCAUCACCAUCCGCCGAUUGGCUCCCACCACCCGACCCGUCACGGUCCAGCUCCACACUCCUUUUGUGCCAACGAGCCAGGACUUGGACCUGAACCAAGGGCCAGACUUCCAGGGAGCACACUACGUCUACGGGCAGACGCUGGUUCCCGAGGUGGAGGGGGGACCCCGUCCCACCGUCCACAUGCUCUGGACGCCGGUGCCGCAAGCCUUGACGCUGGGCGGGGAGGAGCGGGAGCGACGCUGGGAGUUCCUGACAGCCGUGGCCGAGAGCGAAGAGGAGGCGAAGGGGAGCUACAGCGAGGGGCUGGCCCUGGCGGCUGCCGGCUCCCUGCACUCCUCCCAUGCCCGCGCGUGGGCCGCGCUGUGGCAAGGAUGCUCCGUAGACCUGGAUGGACCUCUGCCGUUGCGGCAGGCCCUCCGUGGGUGUCUCUACUACCUGCUGAGCGCCAUCCCGCCCCGGGGCAGCCCAGGCUUCCUCUUCCACGGCAUCAGCCCUGGCGGCUUGUCCAACGGCACUCGAGGCGAGGACUACUGGGGACACGUCUUCUGGGACCAGGACACCUGGAUGUUCCCAAACAUUCUGCUGUUUUACCCUGAAGCUGCCCGAGCCAUCCUGGAGUACCGGAUUCGCACGCUGGACGGAGCCUUAUGCAACGCGCAGGAGCAAGGCUACAAGGGUGCUAAGUUCCCAUGGGAGAGUGCAGCCACUGGCCGGGAAGUCUGCCCGGAGGAGAUCUAUGGAGCCCAAGAAAUCCACAUCACUGGGGACGUUUUGAUGGCCUUUGAGCAGUAUUACUACACCACGCAGGACCAGAAGCUGUUCCGGGAGGAUGGAGGCUGGGAGCUGGUGGAUGCCGUGGCUCAGUACUGGUGCAGCAGGAUGGUGUGGAGCGAGGAGGAGCAAUGCUACCACAUCAGAGGUGUCAUGCCCCCCGACGAGCAUCACUGCCGGGUUGAUAACUCUGCCUACACCAACGCCGUGGCCCAGCGGAGCUUAAAUUUUGCAGCUGACGUUGCUCGGGACUUGUUGAUCCCUGUGCCAGAGGAGUGGGCGGACUGUGCCAAGAAACUCAAAGUGCCCUUUGAUGUGGAGAAGAAAUACCAUCCCGAGUACGACGGUUACAGCCCAGGAGAGCCCGUGAAACAGGCUGACGUCGUCUUGCUGGGAUUCCCGCUGAUGCACCCCAUGAGCCCUGAGGUCCGGAGAAAUGACCUGGAGAUGUAUGAACCCGCCACUGAGCCGGGUGGGCCAGCCAUGACCUGGAGCAUGUUUGCAGUGGGCUGGCUGGAGCUAAAGGAGGUGCAGAGAGCCCAGAGCCAACUGAACAAGUGUUUCAGCAACAUCACGGAGCCCUUCAAGAUUUGGGUGGAGAACUCAGACGGGUCAGGAGCUGUGAACUUCUUGACGGGGAUGGGCGGAUUCUUGCAAGCCGUCCUCUUUGGCUACACAGGGUUCAGGAUCAUGAAGACCAGCCUUCGCUUCGACCCUGCCCUUCCCGACGACAUCGACAGGCUGAAAGUCACCGGCGUCUCCUACUUGGGCACCAAACUGACGUUCACCAUCACCAGAGAAGAGAUGAGGAUCACAGUGACCGAGUCUCCGGGGCACCCUGUGGCAUCUCCCCUGGAAGCUGUGCUGGAGGCGUCGGGGCAGCGGCUUGCCCUGCCUGGAGGGCAGAGCGUCUCCUUCCCCACGGCAGCCGGCUGGAUUCACAGGUCACCCACCGAGACACCUUAGACCUUGGCUGGUCUGGGCUUUCCUCACCAAAGCAGCAGAAACAAGGUGAAGAGCAAAUGUCGGCGGAGGGGGAAGGGACCCGCUGGGGGGCUUCUGCUUUCCUGCAAGGAGUCUCAGCUCCCCUCGGAGGGAUGACAUCUCGUCUGCUCGAGUGUGGCCCCACGGGGCCAAGAAACUUCUCCGCUUCUUUCCCCUCCUCAGCAGCCGGUGAGAACCCGACGCGCUGCGGCUGUUUUAGGCUGGGUGGCUCUAAGGGUCGUGGAGAUUGUUCCUUCUGGCCCCGAAGGGCGUGAUCAGAGUGAAAAGCCAUAUUUAUAUGGUCCCUUUAUCCCCCCCCCACCCUACACACACGCACGCAGAAGACUGGCAAUGUGUGAUAUGGUUUAAUGGUUUAAAUAGCGACCACGGAGGCCGGAGGGAUGCUGUGCUCCACACAGGAUAAAUGGAAGUAAAAAAAAAACCAAACCAAGUUAAACAAAAAUAACUGAGCUGCCCCCAGAAGUGUGGCCGGGAACCGGGGUCGGGCACCGCGGGGCUGGGGGUGCUGGAUCAGGCGGGGGGGGCGAGGGGAGAUGCAGCCUGUGGGGCUGCCGCCGCCCAGACCCGUGGGCACGAAAGCUUGCGGACACAGCCCCGGGUGGCAGAGACGGGUGGUGGCUGGGUUAUACUGGACCAGUGGUCUGUUUGGGUGGGCCACCAGCGGUGCGAAGGAGUUUCUACAAGCCCUUCGCCCACCGGUCAGUUGUCCUCCUCGUCGCUCGGGCUGAACUGGUAGGUGAAGAAGCCGACGGACUCCUGGGCCAGCUUGGAGAGGUGGAUGACGCCCGUGAUGACCAGGGCGGCCAGCAGCAGCGGCAGCACCACGCUCCCCGCCGUGGCCAGCACGUUGUAGCACCUGGCCUUGGAGCUGAAGCGCCGAGCGGCUUCCACGUCCCCAGACGCUUUCCGGUCCCGUGCCUGCAACAGCCGAGAGACGGGGCAGCAGCGCCCGGGCUGCCCCCAGCCCCCUCCCCGUGCCCCCUCCCAGCCUGGCUACGGGGCUUCGGCUCCCCCCCACCAGCCCCCAGUUUAGUCCCCUGGGGGACCCCCACCAGCCAAGAGGGUGGCUCUCCAUCCAUCCCUGGCCGCCCGCGCUGCUGCUCCCCUCGGCCCCCCUUUCUUUGCCGCUGGGAUUUUCUCUUUCGGAGCCUCGCUGGCUCCAGCCCUGGCUUUCCCCCGUCUCUCCACCCUGGUCCCGUCCAGCUGGAGCUGCUCCUGCCACAGGGCAGGCGGAGGGGCCGGGGGCACCGUGGCCCCCCAGCACCUUCCAGGAAGAAGCAGUUGGUCCUCCAGUGGAGGCAGGGGGCUGUGGCUAUCUUCGGGGGGGGAGGUCUCACAGCCGCAUUAAUAGGUGGCAGGAAAAGUGUGGGGGCUUUACCAAGGGAUGGCAUCGCCUGCAAGCAGCCUCUUGAGGGUGUUGGGCUCUCACCCCCCCGGCCCAGCCCUCCCGAGGAGUUGUUUCAGAUGCCCUGCGCCUCCUGGGGGAGUCCAGCCCUUGGAGGGCUCCCAGGUGACCCCAAACGUUGAGUCUCCCACCCCCGCUCGGCGCCCAUACCUUGACGGAGAAGGCGAGCGCCACGAAGCCGAGACAGCAGAAGUUCAUGUAGAUGGUGUUGAAGAUGGACCAGACGAGGUGGUCGCGGGGCGGCGUGGGGACGAGGCCGGUGGGAGAUGGGUCGCGCUUGUGGGAUGGCACGGGCAGGUAGUCCUCCCGCGGGUAGGAGGUGUCCAUGGCCACGGAGAGGGGCACCCCGCGGCUCUCCUGCUCCACCAGCCUGGCUGGGGCCGCCGGGCAGGGCAGCCCCUUUAUAUCGUCCCUGUCUAUGGCGUGGCCUCCUCUCCUCUAUAUAUAAACCCUAGAAAUUACAGCCCUCCCGGGCUGUGGUUGUCAGAAAGGCUUGGCUGGCAGCUAGGAGAAACAAACUUGGCUUCGCAAGUCUACGGGCUUUUUAUAUCCAGCCUUCCUCCCGCGAUGAGGAGCGCAGACGGCUCCAGCGUGACCCAGGAGAGGCUGAGCGCUCGGGGAGGACCGUGGGAAUAGAGCCAUGGGACGACCUUAACACCAAGUGGCCCUCACCCCGAGGGGCCGAUACGAGACAGACCCUCGGUGCCGGGAUCUCUCCCUGCGCUGGCUCGCACCGACACCUUCAGCCCCGUCCCUCCAGGUGGUCUUGUCUGGGAAGACCCCUUGUUCGCAGCGCGUUUGGGCCACCGGAUGGAUGCAUUAAAUGGGAACUUAAUACCAAAACGUGGAAAAGCUACUUCUCUGGGGUUCCCUGGAACUGGGAGGAGAUGGGGCUGUGUGGUGGGAUGGGGUGUGCAAGGACAGAAAAACACAGAGAUUUAUUCUUUUUUCUUUCCUUUUUCUGCCACGCCUAAGCUUUUAGGAAGAAACUUAUCUGGGAUCUGGGCUCUGCACU